UUGCAUCUGGUCCACUCCGCACACCAAACUUGACCGCUGUCAAGGAUGGUGGAUUUAUUGCCUGAUUCAUGCCUUUGUUAUCACUCCGUAGUAGUUACAGUAGUCCGGUAACAUAUCAACCCCAGCGUGUCCGGUUGCUAAUCGACGGGACAUGGGUGAUUAUGGGUGACACGGGUGGGUUCAUAUGUUCGCGUAUCGUCUUAACGUCUUAACUUAUCGUCAUAACUUUGCAAGAGUACUACUACUGCUAGUACUACGGCUACGGUUGAUGUGUAUAAGUGACUCAAUAAAUUCCCUUUUCUAUCAAAUAAUUUUUCAGAAAAUUUUUGGGUCUUAAUUUAUGUAUGUGUUGGUCUUAAAAAGUCUUAAAUUUGACUUUAAAAAUGGUGCAAGAACCAUGUAGACAAAGUGAUCAGGGCUGAGGCUUACCAGCAGGGGGGGGCGAGAUACCAGGAGACGGAGGGGGGAAUACAUAAACACCAACCAGUCACUCGUGCUCGCACACACAAACAGCAACACAGGAUGACCAAGGCUAUGGUUGGGUGGCUGAGCAGAUCACUUAAUGAUCCGCCACUAUAGAAUGGCCUACCACAAGAACUAGCACCAAACUCACAGAAUGUAAUUCACAAAAGGAAAUAAGUAAGAAACAAAAUAUAACACAAAUAUACAAACCAGGCCCAAAAGGAUCUUAAACAUGCGUGAUAGCCCUCUGGCUAUCCGCAGCUAUGAAAAGGCCUCCUCCUGCCAGUGGCUUAACAGAAGCAGGGCUCAAACAAACCAUAAACAGAAUCCCCCAAAUUAAACCAAACACUUCCCCAGGACACACACAUACACACACGCACACAGACAUACACUAAUUGCGACACGGACAGGUGGCAAAACACAAGGACAAGACAACAGAUAGCCGGAUAAGUUUAAAAGGAGUGGUCGUUAGCGUCUUCGCCGCUAU